rnacentral:tRNA from 1 species
GUUUCCGUAGUGUAGUGGUUAUCACGUUUGCCUAACUCUCGAAAGGUCCCUGGUUCGAGCCGGGCGGAAACA